AAUUUUCUGUGGGAGAAGCAUCGCGUCGUGUGCGUCGUACGCUUGCUGGUGAAAAGUGCGCUGUGAAUUAAGUUUUUUUUUAUUUGUUUGCACUGUUUGUUCUAACAAAUUGAAAUUAAGAUACGUGUCAACCACAGUGUAUAAGAUCUACCUUACCGAGAAAAGACUAUUUGGUUUAAGCCAACCUUCCAAUUUUAAUCCGAUCCCCAGAUAAUUAUGAACCCCGACCAUUUAAAGGACACUCAUCUGUGCAUUAGGUGCAACGCCACUAUACUUGGACUCACAAAAUACAUUGAGCACCGAAAACGAAACUGUAUCGUAACAGAAAAGCAAAAUGUUUCGCCAAAAGCCGAUGGACGAGCAAGAAUCUCCUCUGGUACUGAAGUGUCACCGUCGAUUAUCAGUAGCAGUAAUUUGGAUCAAACAUAUGAUGGCUUCCAGUUUACGGAACCGGACGCUCCAAGUAGUUACCUCCGCAAAACUACCGCCAGUCAUGGAGGAAAGACCUCAAAGUCCUUGACGGAAGCUUAUGAUCUUCCGAACGAACUUGGAGCCGAUCUUUUCUUUUCGUCUCUACAACUGCAGAGCGUGGCAACGGGUGGGAAGAUAGUAUCGGUGGCCCGUCAAGAGCGAAGCAAAGAUGAGACGUGGGUCGCACCAACUGGCGAUCCCCUACUGAAAGCAGUUAGGGAGCACGAUGAAACGGUGUUUAAGCCUCUUCACUUUGACCAUGAGUCACCAGAAGCGAGUGAAGAGGAGGAUGAUGAGGAUGAACACGAGGAAUUUGAUGCGGAAGAAGAUCAGGAAGAGUACGAUGUAAGGCGUCAGUCACCGCCCAUUGUGCCCGCCAGUCACACAGGUGGUAAAUGGAAGCCGGAAUCGCGGCCGCAGCUACGACAUCCGCAUAUAGAACGCCUCUCGCCAAGUUGGGAUGAGCCCUCCGAAGAUAACUACAUUCAUCCUCCAGCGGACCAUACAAAAGGCAAAUGGGUUCCGGGUAGCAAACAGCUGGAGUACAUCGAAAAUAUAGAUCUUACUAAGCUGGACCAACCGGGGGCUAGUUAUUGGUGCAACAUCUGCUGUAGGCGACUGAAAAGUCGUUUAUAUUAUGACCAACAUUUGAAGAGUGGCUACCACAUUAAAAGAGCUGAAGCAGAGUGCGAAUUAGAGCAAGCUACUCUAGGCAGAGAACUUACCCUAAGCAAGGACUUCUCAAUAGAAGGCAAUGAGGACAAAAAAGAACAAAAGCCACCAAAACGACAGAGGAGAGCAAAUCUUCUGCGAUGCGAUCUAUGCCGGCACACGAUGGCAAGACAUUUGAUGGGCAAGCAUUUAAUCUCCCAUUUUCAUUUUAGAAGACUCCAGAAGCAGAGUCGAAUUAGACGGCAAAAGUGCUUGCAGGAAAUACUUAAGCAUAUGGGAAGCAUAGUGAGGCAAUCUCCUUUUCAGUGCUUGCCUUGCCGAUUCUAUGCUAACACUGAAGAUAACUUCCUACAUCACUGGCAAUCCCACGAGCACUUGCAGCUAACAAAGAGACUGGGGGGAACUUUUUGGUGUGCUUUUUGUCAGUUUAGCUCCAACACCAAUAAUUCUAUGUUGCUUCAUUUGCUGGAUUCCUCUCAUAAGGAGGUGCUUUUAGCCCUCAAUAGAUCGGUUCCCAUAUACAUAGCCCAAAUAAGACGGCUACAGUGCUCUAGGUGUGGAAUGGAGUUUUUGUACAACAUUCAACUACGUCGACACUUUAUCUCUGAUCAUCCGGGACUUGCUCUUACAGGAACGGCAGCCGAUGAAUACCAGAGUAGGUUUCGAUGCAAUUUGUGUGGAUCCUCACAGACAUCUCGUUUAGCUCUUCAACGUCAUAAAAAGCAUAAGCACCUCCUGGCAAGGUAUUUUUGUGCAAUCUGCCGAUUAGAAUUUGACUCCUCUUUAGAUGCGCGACGUCAUAGAAGCUUGAUGGAACAUAAGCAAAAAGCAAGAGCCCAAAUGACUAUUUUACCACCCGAAAAGGAAAUAGAACAUAUGCUAAAAGAAGUUUUAGAGGAAGCAGCUCCGAGUUUACCCGCCAAGAGGAGUGGGGAUAUUAAGUGCGCGAUUUGCAAAAAAACGUUUGAAUCGUCUCAAAGCUUAACCAAACAUCAAGCAGAAGUUCAUUCAUCAGAUAAUCAUUUGUGUUUGAGUUGUGGUUCAAGCUUUAAAUCUGCUCAGGCACUAGGAAGACACACACGCAGCUGUCAACCCCUGGCCAGCACAUCAUCCCCCCCUCAUCCAUUCCUAGCCCAAAAGAAAGCAAUCUACUCCUGCGAUCAAUGUCGAUUCCAAUCUCAAUAUGAGUCCGAUCUAGUUUAUCACCGAAUUUUUCACACAAGAUCCGGAACAAUAGGAAAGAACGAGCUUCUUCAGUGCCCCUUGUGCCCGAAGAAUUUCAAAAAGCACUCCCUUAGGCCUCACCUAAGGAACCAUACAAAUGAAAAAAUUUUUGAAUGCACGGAGUGCCUUCAGAAAUUUGCCAGAAGACACAACCUGAAGAACCACGUUAUCACGAGGCAUGGUAAAGUAGGUGAUCAGGACAAGACUGAAAUUUCUAAAAAAGAUGUUGAACAAUCAAAACCCAAAUAUCAGUGUGGAACAUGUGGAAAAAUACUGGCCAAAAAGUAUUCCCUUAAACUUCAUGAGAUCAGCCACUCGAAGACAGUUCAGCGCCUCUAUCGCUGCCAUUUUACAGACUGCUCGUAUGCAGGGCGAACCCCGGAAAGCUUAAAAACUCACUUGGUCUCCCACUCUCAGGAAAGACACAAAUGUGCGCGGAACAACUGCAGCUAUGUGGGAAAGAGCGAGCUGCACCUGAAAAGUUGUCCUGCGCCGAAAGUCGAGUCUUGCAUAAAUCUUGCCCACAUCACUGUUGUGAUGUGCUUAACUCACAUCCGAGAUCUUCAAUUAGCUAUCAAAAGGCAGCGGUGGCAAUCCAGGAAUUUCAAAGCGCAACCAACAAAGCAAUCGGUCGGCAGUCCCGGCCUGGAUUUGCAAGCCGAUUCGCGGCUUUGUCGACAUUCGACAGUUAUAUAGGGAGGAUGAGUGCGGAGGGGUGGAAGCCUCCUACAACUGCUGGAACGAUCUUCAAACUCCAUUACUCGCCGCUAAUUAAGCCUACCGAGUCGCGCAUGAGUCGCUUGGUCUUGGGCUUCAGACUUCAGUUUAUUCAGUCGAAGCUUAAGAUUUCACACAGAUUUCGAUUCCAGCAGCCCGAGCCCACAAAAAACAUUGGCAAUUAAUUGUGAGUCGGUGUGCCUGUAGCUGAUAAGUGGAGUGGACAUCCAACACACACAUUUGCAAGGAGCCUCCUUUAUUUGGCUUCUGGGGAAACAGCUACACAAGUACUGGGUAUAAUUGAAGGCGCGUAACUCAAGUCGAGUGAGUGCGGGUACCUCUCUUUCUGUGUAGAGCUUAUUGGUACAUCACUAACGGGAUAAUCAUCAAGGGAUAAUAAUAUUAUUAUUUAAGGCACCUCAAGUCGGCUCAUUUCACGGAGAAGAGUAGUGAGGAGUGGUUUUCGUGCGAUCAAUGCGAUUUCAGAGCCCGAUUCAAGGGUCACCUCCGUCGGCAUUCGUUGCGCCACUCGGGCCAGAAGCCCC